rnacentral:rRNA from 1 species
GAUGAACGCUAGCGGCAGGCUUAAUACAUGCAAGUCGAGGGGCAACAGGGGUAGCAAUACCCGCUGGCGACCGGCAAACGGGUGCGGAACACGUACAGAACCUUCCUUUAAGUUGGAGAUAGCCCGGAGAAAUCCGGAUUAAUACCUAAUAGUAUUAUGGUGUGGCAUCACAUUAUAAUUAAAGCCUUGGCGCUUAGAGAUGGCUGUGCGUAUGAUUAGGUAGUUGGUGCGGGUAACGGCCCACCAAGCCUUCGAUCAUUAACUGGUGUGAGAGCACGACCAGUCACACGGGCACUGAGACACGGGCCCGACUCCUACGGGAGGCAGCAGUAAGGAAUAUUGGUCAAUGGACGCAAGUCUGAACCAGCCAUGCCGCGUGAAAGGAUGAAGGUCCUCUGGAUUGUUAAAACUUCUUUUAUGUGGGAAGAAACCCCGGGAAUUUCUUUUCCGGUUGACGUACCAUAGGAUAAGCACCGGCUAACUCCGUGCCAGCCGCCGCGGUAA